rnacentral:rRNA from 1 species
CCUACGGGAGGCAGCAGUGAGGAAUAUUGGUCAAUGGACGAGAGUCUGAACCAGCCAAGUAGCGUGAAGGAUGACUGCCCUAUGGGUUGUAAACUUCUUUUAUAUGGGAAUAAAAUGUUCCACGUGUGGGAUUUUGUAUGUACCAUAUGAAUAAGGAUCGGCUAACUCCGUGCCAGCAGCCGCGGUAAUACGGAGGAUCCGAGCGUUAUCCGGAUUUAGUGGGUUUAAAGGGAGCGUAGGUGGAUUGUUAAGUCAGUUGUGAAAGUUUACGGCUCAACCGUAAAAUUGCAGUUGAAACUGGCAGUCUUGAGUACAGUAGAGGUGGGCGGAAGUCGUGGUGUAGCGGUGAAAUGCUUAGAUAUCACGAAGAACUCCGAUUGCGAAGGCAGCUCACUGGACUGCAACUGACACUGAGGCUCGAAAGUGUGGGUAUCAAACAGGAUUAGAUACCCGAGUAGUC